AAAUAUUGAGUGAUCCUUCUCAGUUUAAUGUUCAAUUGUUCUGAUAUAUAACUUCACAUAAAAACAAACAUUUAUAUACAGGAUAUUUCUGUAUAUAAGA